ensembl:lncRNA
UCCCAGCCCCUGGCCCUGCCCAGACCCCCCAGCAAGCCCACCCUGAGCAUCCCUGAGAGCGCUGUCCAAACGCUCCCGGAGCUCUGGCAGCCUUGGGGCCGGGCCCAUUCCCUGGGGAGCCUGGGCAGUGCCAGCAGCCUCGGGGGGAAGAACCUUGCCCUGAGAUCCAUCCCAAGCCCUGGCACAGCUCCAGCCCUUCCUGGGCUCCUGUCCCUGUCCCAGAGCAGAGCAGAGCUCAGCCCCUGCCCCUCCGCCUCCCCUCGGGAGGAGCUGCAGCCCCCGAGGAGUCUCCCCUCAGUCUCCUCUGCUCCAGCUGAACGAGCCAAGUGCCCUCAGCUGGGCAGUGCGGGUUACAGAAGGGGAGAUGGACGGAUGGACGCAGAGCUUCCUAACGGCGCAGACGCCACACAGAGAACAGCAGGGAGGCUCCAGGAGCGGCCAGACCUCGGGUGCGCUCCCCCGCUUCACAGCUGUGACCGGCCGUCCUCGGACACACUCGCAGUGUCAGAGUUCAGCAGUGGAUGUCAGUGUUGCUGCUACUGCCUGGAGGAUGUGGUGUGGGAAAAGGUGCAAUGCACUUCGAACCAGGUGUUACUCUGCUCAUUAGAAGAUACCUGCACUUCAAGGUUUGAUUUAUUUGAAGAGCUGAAUCUGAUAAUAAACUGAAGUCAGGACCAUGAUGUAGACCCAGAUUUCUUUUCACAUGACAGAAUCCUGUAUCUGGGGAGGAUGGAAAGCUGUUGAGGUUUAAAGACUGUCUUGGGUUGCAAUGCAAGAUGUAACCAAAAGUUUGUAUUUUAUUACCAUCUAGUCGGGAAUUCAAGAGCCAUUUGUUUAUUUGCUUGGCAUUUUCUGUCUGAUUUGUGUGACUUUAUCUUAGUUCCAUGUCUAAUCAGUUGUGGUCUCACUGUUGUAUCAUGGAUUGAUCGGUAUUAGUCUGUCUUUACAAACUGCCUUGCUGCAGGGUGAUGCUAAACUGGUAUAUCUCUACAUUAUCUACCCGGAAGCUGGCUCAGUUAAAUACAACUUUUUUGACUUGUUGGUUUCUUGGUUGUUUUUUUGGGGUUUUUUUAAGCACUCAGUCAUGUAUAGUUUAAUCCUAAUUAAUCUGUGGAGUGAGCUCUACCAGAGAGAAAAUUCACUUGUAAGCAUCUGUGGCUGCUGGCCCAGGUGAAUUGUCCUUUCUGGCCCUGUCUAGUCUAGGUUAUUGGGCCAGGCUGUGGUCCUGCCUGGCAGCAGAGGAACUUAUUCCCCAGCCUGUCCUAACAGCAAACAUUCAGGAAGGGAACAUGGAUUAACACCUAGGGCAGUUUUAGUUAGCAAUCAGUAAUGGUAUUACUGGAUAUCAGAUGGUAUCUGCUUAUCAUAGAAUCAUAGAAAAGACCUAGUCUGUAAAAGACCUUCAGAACUAUCAAGUCCAGCCUUUAAGCUAAUCCCCCAAGCCCACAAAACCAUAUCCCCAAGUGCCAUGUCAACUCAUUUUUUGACCACUUCCAGGGUUGGUGUCUCCACCACUGCCCUGGACAGCCUGUUCUAACCCUUCACCACUCUUCCAGGGAAGAAAUUCUUCCUGAUGUCCAACCUAAACCUUUCUUGGCACAGCUUGGGGCUGUUUCUUCUUGUCCUGUCCCUUAUUCCUGGGAGCAGAGCCCAAACCCCCUGGCUGCACCUUCCUGUCAGGGAGUUGUGCAGAGCCAGAAGGGCCCCCCAAGCCUCCUUUUCUCCAGGCUGAGUCCCUUUCCUAGCUCCCUCAGCUGCUCCUGGGGCUCCAGACCCUGCUCCAGCUCCAUUCUCCUGUCUGGACACACUCCAUCCCCUCAGUGUUUCUUGUAUGACAAUUACACAGUCAAGACAGUAAAGAUAGAGAUUCUCUAUGAUUUGUGUGGCUUUCAAAUCACACAAAUCUCUAUGAUUUGUGUGAUUUGAAAAGACUGUUAGUUGUCUUUAACUUCAGUGCUCUCCAUGCCUUCACAGUUCAUCCUGGCCUUCCAAUGUAGAUUUUGGAUGAUGGGAUAAUGAAAAGAAAACCCCAUUUUGUAACUUCCUUUGCUACACCAUAGUUUAAUGCAGUUUGAAUUUUACUGCUGCAUAUUUCUCCUCGUUUAACUCUGGAAGUAAUAGUGCAUCAGCAUUAAUAAAUCUCAGCUUCUGAUCUAGGUUAUUCCA